rnacentral:lncRNA from 1 species
AAAAAUAUCGAAGGAAAUCUCAAACACUGAAAUCAAUUAAUUUUUUUAAAAAAAUUAAAGUUAGUUAGUGUGUUUUUUUUUUGGGUUUGGCAUAGUUGCAAAAUUGAAAUUUAUAAAGAAAUAACAAGGGAAGAGACGUGUGGUCAAGUGUCUCGGCAAGCCAUGUGAGGGGAAUCUGAAUCACUUUUCUAUGCUUAUCAAAAUCUGAGUAUUUUCCACCAUUAUUGAA